AAGAAAGGUAUUUAUAAUUAUAAUUUACAUUGAUUCAUAAUUAUUAAUUUCAUUUAAAAAAAAAUUGUUUAUAAGUUAAAAACGAAAUUUUUGAUCAAAAUCCAAAGCGAUUUUAAUUGCAGAAGCAGAAAUUUAUUCUAAAUGCUCCUUUUUUUUUAGGUAGAAUAAAAUGAAACAAGAAGAAGUUUGAAAAGAAAUUUAAAUUUGAUGAAAAAACUGAGAGAAAGUGCUUUUGAUUGAGAAAUAUUAAAAAUAGAUGAUUCUAAUUCCAAAAGUGCAAAUUUAUUCCGAACAAUGUAAUAAUAGAAACUUCAAGGCGAGACACUUUCUCUGACCAAUGCAAGUGAUCCCUAUUGUGAAAUGUUUGCACCCCACACAAGAAUGAAACUUGUUUGAUUGUCGGAACAAAGUGAUUAUAUAUUUAAAUAUAAUGACAUUAUAAUAUCUCAUGGUCAUUAUACGUAUGUAAUGCACAAUAUUAUUUGCAAAAUUAACAACGAAAAAAACAAAACAAAAAAAAAAAAGGAUAGAAAGAAACGAGUAUAAAUUCAUAGGAAUUUUCAAAAGAAUAAAAGCAAAUAAUUAAGAGGAUACGAUUCAUUGAAUAAAAAGUGGUGUGAAUACAGAGAAAUCAAUUUGCAUAAUUGGUCUGAUUUUAAAUAUUAUACUGACGUGUUCAUAUAGAGAAAUAUGAGACUAUUAUUUAGAAUCCUUCGGAUCUUGAGGAAAAUUAGUUUAAUCGAUAAUAGAACCUUCGUUAUAAUUGCAUUAUUACGAGGUCAUUUGGCAUCUUUAAGGGGAGAAUGCACUUCCUUUUCCGGAGAUUUGAAUGCCUAGUGUGACAUGCCGCUGAGGAAACAAUAGCAGAAUUUUAUUUAAAACGAUUUUUGGAGCUGAAUAACAAAUUUUAAAAUUUGGCAUUAUUUCUGUCAAGAACUUUUUUUUCUUCUUUGUUCGACGAACUUGAAAUUCGAAACGUGUCUUCAAGUCAAGUGUGCAUGGACUAAAAAUGUAAAUAAAGUCGUUGUACCGCUUUCACUUAAAGAUACAACCAAUAUACAUUGAACUUCGAUAAUUCAGGUAACGGAGAUUAUUUAUUAAUUUUACCAUUUUUUUUAAUUUCAUAACAUGUGAAUUAAUUAGUAGAUAUUGAAUUUUCUAUUAAA